GUUCAUUAAAUGUUUCUCUUU
rnacentral:piRNA from 1 species